UACAGAGGGUGCAAGCGUUGUUCGGAAUUAUUGGGCGUAAAGGGCGCGUAGGCGGUGCGGUAAGUCUGUAGUGAAAUCUAUGGGCUCAACCCAUAGUCUGCAGGCGAAACUGUCGGGCUUGAGUAUGGGAGAGGUGAGUGGAAUUUCCGUGUAGCGGUGAAAUGCGUAGAUAUCGGAAGGGACACCUGUGGCGAAAGCGGCUCACUGGACCAUUACUGACGCUGAUGCAGCGAAAGCUAGGGGAGCAAACAGG
rnacentral:rRNA from 1 species